CCGCACGCUUUCCAAGGAUCCGGGCUCUGCGUGUAGUCCUGGGUUCUCCAAGAGCGUGCUAGAGCAACGGGGAGUCUUUGACUGUCAGGGCCUCACAGUGCCCCCGGUGGUCACUCUACUGUCCUACACCU